rfam:Gorilla gorilla gorilla genomic chromosome, chr12, whole genome shotgun sequence
GCCGGGCACGGUGGCUCAUGCCUGUAAUCCUAGCACUUUGGGAGGCUGAGGCGGGCGGAUCACCUGAGGUCAGGAGUUCAAGACAAGCCUGGCCAACAUGGUGAAACCCUGUCUCUA